UCAGCCGGUGGAAGGAACCGGUGAAAACGGGAGCGAGAUGUAGAGACGCGGGCAGGGGAAGGAAAACACAGAGGGGCCUAAAAAGACAGGAAAGAAGCUGCACCGCGACCUCAGCUAGAGGAAAACGAUGCUAAUGUAAGAAUGAGGCUGCGGAGCUUUUGCAUUAUGCAACCGGCAUGCUGGGAGAUGCCCUAGAAAUGUGCUGGGGGCUAGGAGAAGGCUUUCCUUAAAACUCCCUAUGCCAGAAAGGCAAGAACUUACCCAUGCAAGUAUCACCUAUGGAAUGAAAACAACAAGGAGAGGUUCUUGGAGGAGGCAGCAUAAUAGGUCGAGAAGAACCUGGGUUUCUAGUCCUGAUUUUGCCAGUAUUGUGAUUUGGAAGAUGAAUUUUGAGAUGUUCUUCUCUCCUAGGCCUGACAGAAGUUGCUGCAUGACAAGGAAGUCUGAUUUCAGGAACGAUCUAUUUCUCCUCCACCCUCAUUCAACUUGUCUUGCUGCCCUAAAGGAAGAAAGCUCCACAGCCCACCAGGGGAAGCAUAGUAGAAUGAGAAGAGUCUUUAGGGGCAACUUGAAGCCGUGGCUCCUUGCUCCUUGCUCUCCCAAAGUUGGGAACACAUUUUACCUAUGAGGGCAGAAAACAAUCAUAAUUCUCCAUCUCUGUAGAGGGACAGCAUCACACACUCUCCAAUCAACAAGGAAUCUGAACACCUGAAUUUUCGUUGAGUCUGAUGAAAUGAGUUUGAUGGGGUUCAGGACACACUACCCCAAAACAUGGUAAGGGGCAUUUUUAUAUCUGAAGACAGGGACACAGAGAAAAAUCUGAAUGAACAGGCCUUGCUAAGUUUUCCAUAGUUUACUACUCUUAGCUCAUACCCUUUUGUCCCAUCACAUUUUUCCACAACUUUCCACUUUUCAUCAGACCUAGCCUAAAAAUGCUCAGGUUUCACCA